UCGGCCUGCCUUACCAUGCAAGUCGAACGGCAGCACGGGUGCUUGCACCUGGUGGCGAGUGGCGAACGGGUGAGUAAUACAUCGGAACAUGUCCUGUAGUGGGGGAUAGCCCGGCGAAAGCCGGAUUAAUACCGCAUACGAUCUACGGAUGAAAGCGGGGGACCUUCGGGCCUCGCGCUAUAGGGUUGGCCGAUGGCUGAUUAGCUAGUUGGUGGGGUAAAGGCCUACCAAGGCGACGAUCAGUAGCUGGUCUGAGAGGACGACCAGCCACACUGGGACUGAGACACGGCCCAGACUCCUACGGGAGGCAGCAGUGGGGAAUUUUGGACAAUGGGCGAAAGCCUGAUCCAGCAAUGCCGCGUGUGUGAAGAAGGCCUUCGGGUUGUAAAGCACUUUUGUCCGGAAAGAAAUCCUUGGCUCUAAUACAGUCGGGGGAUGACGGUACCGGAAGAAUAAGCACCGGCUAACUACGUGCCAGCAGCCGCGGUAAUACGUAGGGUGCAAGCGUUAAUCGGAAUUACUGGGCGUAAAGCGUGCGCAGGCGGUUUGCUAAGACCGAUGUGAAAUCCCCGGGCUCAACCUGGGAACUGCAUUGGUGACUGGCAGGCUAGAGUAUGGCAGAGGGGGGUAGAAUUCCACGUGUAGCAGUGAAAUGCGUAGAGAUGUGGAGGAAUACCGAUGGCGAAGGCAGCCCCCUGGGCCAAUACUGACGCUCAUGCACGAAAGCGUGGGGAGCAAAACAGGAUUACAUACCCCUGGUAGUCCACGCCCUAAAACGAUGUCAACUAGUUGGUUGGGGAUUCAUUUCCUUAGUAACGGUAGCUAAACGCGGGGAAGGUGACCGCCUGGGGGAGU
rnacentral:rRNA from 1 species